CCUACGGGUGGCAGCAGUGGGGAAUAUUGCACAAUGGGGGAAACCCUGAUGCAGCGACGCCGCGUGAGUGAAGAAGUAAUUCGGUAUGUAAAGCUCUAUCAGCAGGGAAGAAAAUGACGGUACCUGAGUAAGAAGCCCCGGCUAACUACGUGCCAGCAGCCGCGGUAAUACGGAGGGGGCAAGCGUUAUCCGGAUUUACUGGGUGUAAAGGGAGCGUAGACGGCAGGGCAAGUCUGGAGUGAACUGCGGGGGCUCAACCCCCGGACUGCUUGGGAAACUGUACAGCUAGAGUGCAGGAGAGGUAAGUGGAAUUCCUAGUGUAGCGGUGAAAUGCGUAGAUAUUAGGAGGAACACCAGUGGCGAAGGCGGCUUACUGGACUGUAACUGACGUUGAGGCUCGAAAGCGUGGGGAGCAAACAGGAUUAGAUACCCCAGUAGUC
rnacentral:rRNA from 1 species